UUACAGUCUCGUUCGGAGCAUUUUACGAGGUGCUGCAUGGUUGUCGUCAGCUCGUGCCGUGAGGUGUCGGGUUAAGUCCCAUAACGAGCGCCAACCCCUACUGCUAGUUGCCAGCGGGUCAUGCCGGGGACUCUAGCGGAACUGCCAGCGUAAGCUGCGAGGAAGGUGGGGAUGACGUCAAAUCAGCACGGCCCUUACGUCCAGGGCUACACACGUGUUACAAUGGCCAGUACAGAGGGCAGCCACCCGCGAGGGGCGCUAAUCCUAAAAGCUGGUCCCAGUUCGGAUCGGAGUCUGCAACCCGACUCCGUGAAGCUGGAUUCGCUAGUAAUCGCGCAUCAGCCACGGCGCGGUGAAUACGUUCCCGGGCCUU
rnacentral:rRNA from 1 species